UUUUUUUUUCCUGAGCAGUAGAUCUCAACAAGGGGCUUAAAAUAGUCAGUAAACCAUGUUGUAAACAGAUGUGCUGUCAUCCAGGCUUUGUUGUUCCAUUUAUAGAGCACAGUCAGAGUAGAAUUAGCAUAAUUCUUAAGGGCUUCAGGAUUUUCAGAAGAAUACACGAGCGUUGGCUU